rnacentral:lncRNA from 1 species
AUGGCUUCAUGGGUGAGGCCGCAGACGCUUCCAGAGACCACCCGCACAGCCUGCUCACCAGGUAUCCCGCUGUCUGUUUGUGAGGUUCAGCCGUUUGCUUGGUCUGAUGGGACCUGUCCUCCAGGACAGCCACUUCUUCAGAUUUUGGACAUCACAGAGGCGCCUCUAAGGGUGAUGAUGGUUUCAUUAAACCGACCCAAAACCAGACACAGGACAGCCAACAGCAACGGAACAGGAAGUGGAGGGGAGGGGCCAGCGGCUCAGCAACACCCUACAGUAAACGGCACUGCCUCACCGGCCAGAGAAGAAAGAAGCCGCGGUUUUCUGAGGAGUCUUCACGGCACAGUGAAGUAAGAACCCACUGAGCCGCUCCAUCACAGAGAGCACAGAACCAGCCGUAAUCCUUUAUGUUGCUGUCUCCUCAUCAGCCAUGUCUGCCUGAGUUCAACCUGAGCAGCUUCCCUCCACUCUCUGUAAAGCUGGUUACCAUGACAACACCUGCAGCGAACAGUAUGGUACAGGUAAGAUACGGUUGCUGUCUGAGACUCUCCCAUGCACAAGUGAAUCAAGUGUUUGAAUCCCCACAGGAUCCAGAGGCUCCUCCCACCCCGAGCUGUGCGCAGACAGAAGAAGCUCUGCAGUGAGUGUGUCUGCAGCCUCCUCGCCGCGCUGCUGGGGGGCUUCAGAGGCAGACUUGGAGAAGUUUUCCACUUGUCGUGUUGCCAACUGUGUGUUUGAGACAGUUUUGUUGUGUCUCUGCAGGAGCGUGAAGGAGAACGCAGAGAGGAGCGGGGAAGCCAAGCCGCCGCAGCUCCCACAGGAAACAGUCACGGUGAGAAGCGCUCAGCACCGCCUUAAGUCCUCCACGCCGUUUCCUGCUGCUAUCAGCGUCUGCGCCGCUGAAGAAGAAGAAGAGUUGGUAUUAGUUUGUCUUUAGACUGAAGAAUCAAAGAUCCGAUCAAACUCAUGUUUCUGUGCUGUAGAUGAAAGAACUGAACUCUUGGAUUUAUAACGUCCAUCAGACACAUAUAGAACCUUUUCACGUGACGUCUCCCUAAAUAACAAGUGCGUAAAGUAACUUUCGGUUCACGGGUUUAAAACAACAAAGUCUAUAUGGUUGCAUUGUUUCCCUCUCAGAUCAAAUGUCAGUAUUCCUCCUGCAGAUGCUCCACAGCUGCUUCCCUAAAUCCUCUGGAUGAUAUUAAACCAUCGUGGAUUAUUUCUCUCUCCAACCCGUCAUAGUUAGAUGACGGUUACAGGAACUUCAGUCAAUGCUGCUGUCUGAUUAUGAAGGUCAUUCAGGUUUUCUUCCUCUAAGUAAAGCUGCAGAAGAUCUUCUCUGUCCAGUUAAAGUUUCUGUGGUCACAAAACACAGUUUCAACGUGUCUGACGAUAAACUAAGAACUGUUGUGUUAUUUUCUGACAUAGCUCCUCUUUGUUGUUGCUCAUAACCAUGUCUGAUCCCUGCAGGAUAAUAAAGGUAAACAAGGAUCAAAAUCAUUUGAAAUCAUAAAAACACAUAUAAGGAAGUGAUUUGCAGUAAUUUUCUAAAUGCAUACGGCCAGAGUUGAAACUUUUGUCUUGACCGCUCUUAUUUUGAAAGCUGAAAAUAUGUGGCUUCACAGCAGCACUUAAAAUAUUUGCUGUGCAACUUGAUAAACUUGAUUUUACAAUUACCCAUUAAAAUACCCUGAGAAACAACAAUUAUCUCUGAUUAAAACAACUAUAUUUAG